CGCGUAGGCGGUCAGCACAAGUCAGUUGUGAAAUCUCCGGGCUUAACUCGGAACGGUCAACUGAUACUGUGCGACUAGAGUGCGGAAGGGGCAACUGGAAUUCUCGGUGUAGCGGUGAAAUGCGUAGAUAUCGAGAGGAACACCUGCGGCGAAGGCGGGUUGCUGGGCCGACACUGACGCUGAUGCGCGAAAGCCAGGGGAGCGAACG
rnacentral:rRNA from 1 species